CUCUGGUUAACUGUUUCUAACCUACACUCCUUAUGAUAUUGUUACAUGCAUCUGAAAUAAAGAAUACAUUGAAAGGAGGACGGACAUGUAAGACAGACAUACUGAAUUGUGCAUCUCACUUUAAGCACUGUUAAUCCAUUGCAGUAUAAAUGUUCUAAGUAUUGGUAUUUUCUCUAGACACAGGCAGUGAGGAAGAAUGUCCUGCACCACCUUGCUCCCAGCCCACAGUGACAGUUCAAUUCCUGAGGAGGUUAGAUGUUCACCUGCUCAGACUCUGGAAUCACCAUCAGCAGCCCUUCGGAUGACCACCGGUCCUGACCAUCGUAUUUUCAUAGAUGAUGUUUAUCCCAGGAUUUUGUCGCAACACACAGGAAAAUGUCUCCUUCCUCAAAAGUGACUGAGAGUACAUCGAAGCAAGAUGGCCAGAAAAUCAGCUCCAGCAUCCGUGUGCAUGACAGACCUAUUCUAAGAUCCCGCCAAGCAUCUGGCAGCUGGUCUGAUGAAACGGUUUCUGAGACACAGUCAGAAACUACAUCAGACCAGAGUGAUAUUGAGAUCAGGAUCCAUGCAUUGAAGGACGAACUUAAGAAGCGCAAGUCC